rnacentral:rRNA from 1 species
UACGUAUGGUGCAAGCGUUAUCCGGAUUUACUGGGUGUAAAGGGAGCGUAGACGGAUAGGCAAGUCUGGAGUGAAAACCCAGGGCUCAACCCUGGGACUGCUUUGGAAACUGCAGAUCUGGAGUGCCGGAGAGGUAAGCGGAAUUCCUAGUGUAGCGGUGAAAUGCGUAGAUAUUAGGAGGAAUACCAGUGGCGAAGGCGGCUUACUGGACGGUGACUGACGUUGAGGCUCGAAAGCGUGGGGAGCAAACAGG